rnacentral:rRNA from 1 species
UGGGGAAUUUUGCGCAAUGGGCGAAAGCCUGACGCAGCGACGCCGCGUGGAGGAUGAAGGUUUUCGGAUUGUAAACUCCUUUUGUAGGGGAAGAUAAUGACGGUACCCUAUGAAUAAGCCACGGCUAACUCUGUGCCAGCAGCCGCGGUAAGACAGAGGUGGCAAGCGUUGUUCGGAAUUACUGGGCUUAAAGGGCGCGUAGGUGGUGGCAUAAGUCCGAGGUGGAAGGCUAAGGCUUAACCUUAGAAUUGCCUUGGAAACUGUAUCACUUGAGUCAGCGAGGGGAUGGCGGAAUUCCAGGUGUAGCGGUGAAAUGCGUAGAUAUCUGGAGGAAGGCCGGUGGCGAAGGCGGCCAUCUGGCGCUGAACUGACACUGAGGCGCGAAAGCGUGGGGAGCAAACAGG